GGGCACUCGCUGCGGGCAGCGCGGGCAGGCUGGCUGCGGCACCCCGCGCUCCCCAGGACGCCUCCCGCGACAAGAGGCACCCGGGGACAGCCCGACCUCCGUCCCCUCGCACCGCACCGGCCGGCUUCCCGCGGGACGCGCCCCGCCGCUCCAGGGGAGUCUCCCGAGGCCGCUCUCGUGCCCUUAUCACUUUUCCAGCCCAGCUUCUGCUCUCUGACUGUUGGACGGAGAACUGAUAAGGGUAUGCGAGUGACACGAGCGACCGUCCUGGCGCGCUGGCCCCGCGCGGCCCCCGGGCUGUCCCGGCUGCGGCUCCAGCUGCGGCGAUCCAGCUGUGCCGCUGCAGCUCCAGAUGCGGGCUCAGGACAAACCGGCCGCCAAGCGAAUGCAGGGAUACAGAAGUGUCUUUUUUCACUAAAACCUGGCGGGUCCCGUCUCUCCGGGGUUUUCCCUUUCAGCAUCUGCAGCAGGUCUCCAGCAGGAAAACGCAUCUUUUUGGAAAAGUUCUUGAAGUGCUUUUUAAUGCGUUACCGUUUGCUUGUGUUUCAGUGAAGUUAGCUGGGGAUUCUUUGGGAUCAACGUAAAGAAUCAUUAUAAAAGUGAGUUCCUGCCGGCCAUCUCCAGCAGACAGAGGAAAUGAUGAGCGCUGCAGAGGGACAGGGGCAGCGAACCCCGGGAUGAGUUUUCCAGCUAUUCCCACCUGUCCGAUCCUUCCUGGCUCCACUGAAGUGCUCUGCAGAGUGAGUGCCAGCCUGCUGGCAUUCUGGGGUGCUUGCCCAUGGAUGCACGGCUGGGUGGAGAGGAAAGAGCCAGCACCAGCCCCGGGACGAGGUUUCUUUCCACGGGGGAUACAGCCUGGCCUGGCUGAACCCCACUGGCUGCACAGCCCACACCCCGGGACUGCCCUGGC